ACAUUUUUUAGAGCCUAAUUCAUCUUAAUAAACAAUUAAAAUUACAUUCAAAUCCAAAUUUGAAAUCCUAAUGCUAAAAUUUCUCCUAAAAAUAAAUUUAUUGUAAUCCAUCUCUAUUUUAAUAAGCUGCACCUUGAUCUGAUUUUCAAUAUAAUUAAAUAUUUAAAUUAUAUAUUUCUAAAAAUAAUUAACAACAACGAUAUACAAGCAAAAUUAAAAUUUUAUUAAUCGUGGAUUAUCGAUUACAGGACAGAUUCCCCUGAUUGGAAUAAAAAACCGCCAGAUUUUUUGAUUUUAAAGAACAUAUCUUAUAUUUAUCAAGUCUUAAUAUUUCUACACCUAGAAUAAUGGGGUAUCUAAUCCCAGUCUAAUUGCUAGAUUUCUCAACCUCAUAACCAAAAAAUUAAUUUAGUAGAAAAUAAAAUUUCACCUAAUAUUCACUAAAAUAAAAAUCAAUUUUUAUUAAUUAAGUAUUAUAACCGUUAAAAAAUAGUAGUUUUAUUUGUUUAACCGCA
rnacentral:rRNA from 1 species